rnacentral:rRNA from 1 species
AACGCGAAGAACCUUACCUGGGCUUAACAUCCCCUGACAUCCGCAGAGAUGCGGCUUUGACUUCGGUCACAGGGAGAUAGGUGCUGCAUGGCUGUCGUCAGCUCGUGUCGUAAGAUGUUGGGUUAAGUCCCGCAACGAGCGCAACCCUUGCUCUUAGUUGCCACCAUUAAGUUGGGCACUCUGAGAGGACUGCCGGUGUUAAACCGGAGGAAGGCGGGGAUGACGUCAAGUCCUCAUGGCCCUUACGUCCAGGGCUACACACGUACUACAAUGGCAGAGACAAAGGGUCGCGAAGCCGCGAGGUGGAGCUAAUCCCAAAAACACUGUCUCAGUCCGGAUUGAAGUCUGCAACUCGACUUCAUGAAGCUGGAAUCGCUAGUAAUCGCAGAUCAGCACGCUGCGGUGAAUACGUUCCCGGGCCUUGUACACACCGCUAGUC